AUUUGGAUAAUGCUGUCCAACCUAGGCCUUGCGGCCUUCUUGCUUCAUGGAGCUAAUGCUUUGGCUCCUCUCUUGGCCUUCCAAGGCUUGAGAGCACCACAUAUGAGCUCACAAAUAGAAGCCGCUCUUACAUUCCAAGAGAUAAUCAACAUAAUUGAGAAUAAGAACUCCAAUUAGUAGGCAUCUUUUUGAUUCUUGAAGCAGCUAGAGUAUUGAAAAGGUGAAGAAGUACUUCUAAUUUGAUUGGGUGGGAUGAACUAGUAGAG
rnacentral:lncRNA from 1 species